rnacentral:rRNA from 1 species
UACGGGGGGGGCAAGCGUUGUUCGGAAUUACUGGGCGUAAAGGGCUCGUAGGCGGCCAACUAAGUCAGACGUGAAAUCCCUCGGCUUAACCGGGGAACUGCAUCUGAUACUGGAUGGCUUGAGUUCGGCAGAGGGGGGUGGAAUUCCGCGUGUAGCAGUGAAAUGCGUAGAGAUGCGGAGGAACACCGAUGGCGAAGGCAGCCCCCUGGGCUAACACUGACGCUCAGGCACGAAAGCGUGGGGAGCAAACAGG